GAUGAACGCUGGCGGCGUGCUUAACACAUGCAAGUCGAACGAAGCAUUUGCGACAGAUUUUUUCGGAAUGAAGUUGCUUAUGACUGAGUGGCGGACGGGUGAGUAACGCGUGGGUAACCUGCCUUGUACUGGGGGAUAGCAGCUGGAAACGGCUGGUAAUACCGCAUAAGCGCACAAUGUUGCAUGACAUGGUGUGAAAAACUCCGGUGGGAUAAGAUGGACCUGCGUCUGAUUAGCUAGUUGGUGAGAUAACAGCCCACCAAGGCGACGAUCAGUAGCCGAGCUGAGAGGGUGACCGGCCACAUUGGGACUGGGACACGGCCCAGACUCCUGCGGGAGGGAGCAGUGGGGAAUAUUGCAAAAUGGAGGAAACUCUGAUGCAGCGACGCCGCGUGAGUGAAGAAGUAAUUCAUUAUGUAAAGCUCUAUCAGCAGGGAAGAUAGUGACGGUACCUGACUAAGAAGCUCCGGCUAACUACGUG
rnacentral:rRNA from 1 species